AGUCGAACGGUAACAGGAAGAAGCUUGCUUCUUUGCUGACGAGUGGCGGACGGGUGAGUAAUGUCUGGGAAACUGCCUGAUGGAGGGGGAUAACUACUGGAAACGGUAGCUAAUACCGCAUAACGUCGCAAGACCAAAGAGGGGGACCUUCGGGCCUCUUGCCAUCGGAUGUGCCCAGAUGGGAUUAGCUAGUAGGUGGGGUAACGGCUCACCUAGGCGACGAUCCCUAGCUGGUCUGAGAGGAUGACCAGCCACACUGGAACUGAGACACGGUCCAGACUCCUACGGGAGGCAGCAGUGGGGAAUAUUGCACAAUGGGCGCAAGCCUGAUGCAGCCAUGCCGCGUGUAUGAAGAAGGCCUUAGGGUUGUAAAGUACUUUCAGCGGGGAGGAAGGGAGUAAAGUUAAUACCUUUGCUCAUUGACGUUACCCGCAGAAGAAGCACCGGCUAACUCCGUGCCAGCAGCCGCGGUAAUACGGAGGGUGCAAGCGUUAAUCGGAAUUACUGGGCGUAAAGCGCACGCAGGCGGUUUGUUAAGUCAGAUGUGAAAUCCCCGGGCUCAACCUGGGAACUGCAUCUGAUACUGGCAAGCUUGAGUCUCGUAGAGGGGGGUAGAAUUCCAGGUGUAGCGGUGAAAUGCGUAGAGAUCUGGAGGAAUACCGGUGGCGAAGGCGGC
rnacentral:rRNA from 1 species